UACAGAGGGGGCAAGCGUUGUUCGGAAUUACUGGGCGUAAAGGGCGCGUAGGCGGCCCGCUAAGUCGAACGUGAAAUCCCCGGGCUCAACCCGGGAACUGCGUCCGAUACUGGCAGGCUUGAAUUCGGGAGAGGGAUGCGGAAUUCCAGGUGUAGCGGUGAAAUGCGUAGAUAUCUGGAGGAACACCGGUGGCGAAGGCGGCAUCCUGGACCGGCAUUGACGCUGAGGCGCGAAAGCCAGGGGAGCAAACGGG
rnacentral:rRNA from 1 species